UGCAAUGAUGAUUGCUGCUGUGGUUUGUUUACAGGCUUUCACUUAUGGUGUAGCUACUCCAGACAGCAGUGUUGCAGAAAAUGAAGUUUGUGGGAGCUUAAUAUCAGAUCACGAAGUUGACAUUCACGUAAGCAAAACCGAGCACAUCAUGACAAGGAAAAAUACAAAGGUGAUGAAAGAUAGCUCCACACAAUGGGAACUGCCACCAGCUGACCA